CACGAACGCUGGCGGCAGGCUUAACACAUGCAAGCCGAGCGCCCCGCAAGGGGAGCGGCAGACGGGUGAGUAACGCGUGGGAAUCUACCCAUCUCUACGGAAUAACGCAUGGAAACGUGUGCUAAUACCGUAUACGUCCUUCGGGAGAAAGAUUUAUCGGAGAUGGAUGAGCCCGCGUUGGAUUAGCUAGUUGGGGGGGUAAAGGCCUACCAAGGCGACGAUCCAUAGCUGGUAUGAGAGGAUGAUCAGCCACACUGGGACUGAGAAACGGCCCAGACUCCUACGGUAGGCAGCAGUGGGGAAUAUUGGACAAUGGGCGCAAGCCUGAUCCAGCCAGGCCGCGUGAGUGAUGAAGGCCCUAGGGUUGUAAAGCUCUUUCACCGGUGAAGAUAAUGACGGUAACCGGAGAAGAAGCCCCGGCUAACUUCGUGCCAGCCGCCGCGGUAAUAC
rnacentral:rRNA from 1 species